rnacentral:rRNA from 1 species
GUUUCCUCGUGCAGGCACGCCUGCCAACGGGGACCCUUCAAAACGCUUUGUAAUACCUGUCAUUGUCUGAUAUAACAAGCAAAAAUCAAAACUUUCAACAACGGAUCUCUUGGUUCUGGCAUCGAUGAAGAACGCAGCGAAAUGCGAUAAGUAGUGUGAAUUGCAGAAUUCAGUGAAUCAUCGAAUCUUUGAACGCACAUUGCGCCCUUUGGUAUUCCUUAGGCAUGCCUGUUCGAGCGUCAUUUAAACCUUCAAGCUCAGCUUGGUGAUGGGUGACUGUCCCCUCCCUUCGCGGUGGUGUGACUCGCCUCAAAAACAUUGGCGGCCGGUACAUUGGCUUCGAGCGCAGCAGAAACGCGGUCUCGAGCCCGGUGGAUCGGCUCCCAUAAGCCUCAUUCUUUAUUUUGACCUC